rnacentral:rRNA from 1 species
AACGAACGCUGGCGGCAGGCUUAACAUAUGUAAGCCGAAAGCAUCCUUCGGGGUGAGUGGCAGACGGGUGAGUAACGCGUGGGAACGUGCCCUUCAGUUCGGGAUAACCCAGGGAAACUUGGGCUAAUACCGGAUACGUGCGAGAGCAGAAAGAUUUAUCGCUGAAGGAUCGGCCGGCGUCUGAUUAGCUAGUUGGUGGGGUAAUGGCCCACCAAGGCGACAAUCAGUAGCUGGUCUGAGAGGAGGAUCAGCCACAUUGGGACAGAGACACGUCCAAAACUCCAUCCGGGGUCAGCAGUGGGGAAUAAUUGAAGUGAGGCAUAAGCCUGUUCGAGCCAUACCGCGUGUAUUAUGAAGGCUUAAGGAUUAUAAAGCUCUUUCGACCAGGACGAUAAUGUCGGUUACGAAAGAAGAAGCCCUGGCUAACUUCGUGCCAGCAGCCGCCGUAA